UACGUAGGGUCCGAGCGUUGUCCGGAAUUAUUGGGCGUAAAGGGCUCGUAGGCGGUUCGUCACGUCGGGAGUGAAAACUCGGGGCUUAACCCCGAGCCUGCUUCCGAUACGGGCAGACUAGAGGUAGGCAGGGGAGAGCGGAACUCCUGGUGUAGCGGUGAAUGCGCAGAUAUCAGGAGAACACCUAUGCGAAGGCAGCU
rnacentral:rRNA from 1 species